rnacentral:rRNA from 1 species
CGCUAUCACUCCUACGGGAGCAGCAGUAGGGAAUCUUCCACAAUGGGCGAAAGCCUGAUGGAGCAACGCCGCGUGGGUGAAGAAGGUCUUCGGAUCGUAAAACCCUGUUGUUAGAGAAGAAAGUGCGUGAGAGUAACUGUUCACGUUUCGACGGUAUCUAACCAGAAAGCCACGGCUAACUACGUGCCAGCAGCCGCGGUAAUACGUAGGUGGCAAGCGUUAUCCGGAUUUAUUGGGCGUAAAGGGAACGCAGGCGGUCUUUUAAGUCUGAUGUGAAAGCCUUCGGCUUAACCGGAGUAGUGCAUUGGAAACUGGGAGACUUGAGUGCAGAAGAGGAGAGUGGAACUCCAUGUGUAGCGGUGAAAAUGCGUAGAUAUAUGGAAGAACACCAGUGGCGAAAGCGGCUCUCUGGUCUGUAACUGACGCUGAGGUUCGAAAGCGUGGGUAGCAAACAGGAUUAGAUACCCUGGUAG